UAAAGCAAGAAAGGGCGUAUGGGGAAUGCCUAGGCACACUCCGGCGAAGAAGGACGCAGCAAACAGCGAAAUGCGACGGUGAGCGGUAAGCACGUGAAGAGCCGUCGAUAUCCGAAUGGGGGAACCCACACGGAGUCAUAUCCGUGUAUCACAUGUCGAAUACAUAGACAUGAUGAGGCGAGACGCAGGGAACUGAAACAUCUAAGUACCUGCAGGAAGAGAAAAUAAGAAUGAUUUUCUGAGUAGCGGCGAGCGAAAGGGAAAGAGCCCAAACCGAUUUGAGGAUCGGGGUAGUAGGAUCAUCGAGAAAUCAAACAGAGGAUCAUAGAGGAAUCACAUGGGAAGGUGAGCGAGAGAGGGUGAGAGCCCCGUACUCGAAAUGAGAGACUGGAGAGAGAUGACACCUGAGUAGGGCGGGACACGAGAAAUCCUGUCUGAAUCAGCCGGGACCAUCCGGCAAGGCUAAAUACGAGAGAGUGACCGAUAGUGAACCAGUACCGUGAGGGAAAGGUGAAAAGAACCCCGGGAGGGGAGUGAAAGAGAACCUGAAACCAUAUGCCUACAAGAAGUCAGAGCCCGUUAAAGGGUGAUGGCGUGCCUUUUGUAGAAUGAACCGGCGAGUUACUGUAUGGAGCGAGGUUAAGCAGGAUAUGCGGAGCCGAAGCGAAAGCGAGUCUUAAGAGGGCGCGAGUUGCAUGCAGUAGACCCGAAACCGGGUGAUCUAGCCAUGACCAGGUUGAAGUUGGGGUAAAACCCGAUGGAGGACCGAACCGACCCCCGUUGAAACGUUGGCGGAUGAGUUGUGGCUAGGGGUGAAAUUCCAAUCGAACCCGGAGAUAGCUGGUUCUCCCCGAAAUAGCUUUAGGGCUAGCGUCGAGAGAAGAGUUGCGUGAAGGUAGAGCACUGAAUAUGUGAUGGCCCCAUCUCGGGGUACUGAGCAUAAUCAAACUGCGAAUGUCACGCCAACAUGCUCGGCAGUCAGACAGCGGGUGAUAAGGUCCGUUGUCAAGAGGGAAACAGCCCAGACCAUCAGCUAAGGUCCCAAAAUGUAUGCUAAGUGGAAAAGGAUGUGGAGAUGUACAGACAACUAGGAGGUUGGCUCAGAAGCAGCCAUCCUUUAAAGAGUGCGUAACAGCUCACUAGUCGAAUGACUCUGCGCCGAUAAUUUACCGGGGCUAAGCAUACUACCGAAGCUAUGGAUCCCAAGGGAUGGUAGGGGAGCGUUCCAUGAACGGAGAAGUACGACCGAAAGGACGUGUGGAGAUCAUGGAAGAGAGAAUGCCGGUGUGAGUAGCGGAACGUGGGUGAGAAUCCCACGCACCGAAAACCCAAGGUUUCCAGAGGAAGGUUCGUCCGCUCUGGGUAAGUCGGGACCUAAGGCGAGGCCGAAAGGCGUAGUCGAUGGACAACAGGUAGAGAUUCCUGUACCCGUAUAUAUGUGAAGGAAUGACGGAGAGAGGAAGCUGCAGCCAGCGGCUGGAAGAGCUGGUGCAAGCGAGAUAUCGGGAUGGCAGGCAAAUCCACCAUCCGAAACGAGAAGGCGUGAAGCGUACGGAAAGCUACGGCGAGUACGGAAGGCAGUGGAGGAACUUCCAAGAAAAGUUUCUAACGUUAAGUAUAUAUGGCCCGUACCGAAAAUGGACACACAUGGGUGAGGAGAGAAUCCUAAGGUGAGCGAGAGAACUAUAGCUAAGGAACUCUGCAAAAUGACUCCGUAACUUAGGGAGAAGGAGUGCUCAUAGAGAUAUGAGCCGCAGUGAAACGGCCCAAGCGACUGUUUACCAAAAACACAGCUCUCUGCUAAGCCGCAAGGCGAAGUAUAGGGGGUGACGCCUGCCCGGUGCUGGAAGGUUAAGGGGAGGGGUUAACGCAAGUGAAGCCCUGAACUGAAGCCCCAGUAAACGGCGGCCGUAACUAUAACGGUCCUAAGGUAGCGAAAUUCCUUGUCAGGUAAGUUCUGACCCGCACGAAUGGCGUAACGAUUUGGGCACUGUCUCAACAGCCCGCCCGGCGAAAUUGUAGUACCGGUGAAGAUGCCGGUUUCCCGCAACUAGACGGAAAGACCCCAUGGAGCUUCACUGUAGCUUGAUAUUGGAUCUCGGUAUUCCAUGUACAGGAUAGGUGGGAGGCUAGGAAGUAAGCGCGCCAGCGUUUAUGGAGCCAACCUUGGGAUACCACUCUUGGGAUAUUGGGAUUCUAACCUGCGACCAUGAAUCUGGUCGGGGGACACUGUCAGGUGGGCAGUUUGACUGGGGCGGUCGCCUCCAAAAGAGUAACGGAGGCGCUCAAAGGUUCGUUCAGCACGGAUGGAAAUCGUGCACUGAGUGUAAACGCAUAAACGAGCCUAACUGCGAGAAUGACGGUUCGAGCAGUAACGAAAGUUGGAGUUAGUGAUCCGGCGGUAUGUGAAUGGAAAUGCCGUCGCUCAACGGAUAAAAGCUACCCUGGGGAUAACAGGCUGAUCUCCCCCAAGAGUUCACAUCGACGGGGAGGUUUGGCACCUCGAUGUCGGCUCAUCGCAUCCUGGAGCUGAAGUCGGUUCCAAGGGUUGGGCUGUUCGCCCAUUAAAGCGGUACGCGAGCUGGGUUCAGAACGUCGUGAGACAGUUCGGUCCCUAUCUGU
rnacentral:rRNA from 1 species